rnacentral:rRNA from 1 species
CGGGUGAGUAACGCGUGGGUAACCUGCCCUGUACAGGGGGAUAACAGUCAGAAAUGACUGCUAAUACCGCAUAAGACCACAGCACCGCAUGGUGCAGGGGUAAAAACUCCGGUGGUACAGGAUGGACCCGCGUCUGAUUAGCUGGUUGGUGAGGUAACGGCUCACCAAGGCGACGAUCAGUAGCCGGCUUGAGAGAGUGAACGGCCACAUUGGGACUGAGACACGGCCCAAACUCCUACGGGAGGCAGCAGUGGGGAAUAUUGCACAAUGGGGGAAACCCUGAUGCAGCGACGCCGCGUGAGUGAAGAAGUAUCUCGGUAUGUAAAGCUCUAUCAGCAGGGAAGAAAAUGACGGUACCUGACUAAGAAGCCCCGGCUAACUACGUGCCAGCAGCCGCGGUAAUACGUAGGGGGCAAGCGUUAUCCGGAAUUACUGGGUGUAAAGGGCGCGUAGGUGGUAUGGCAAGUCAGAAGUGAAAACCCAGGGCUUAACUCUGGGACUGCUUUUGAAACUGUCAGACUGGAGUGCAGGAGAGGUAAGCGGAAUUCCUAGUGUAGCGGUGAAAUGCGUAGAUAUUAGGAG